rnacentral:rRNA from 1 species
AGACGUAGGGGGCUAGCGUUGCCCGGAUUCACUGGGCGUAAAGCGCGCGUAGGCGGUUCGGCAAGUCGCCCGUGAAAGCCCCUGGCUCAACUGGGGGAGGUCGGGCGAUACUGCCGGGCUAGAGGGCGGCAGAGGGAGGUGGAACGGCCGGAGUAGCGGUGAAAUGCGUAGAUACCGGCCGGAAUCCCGAUGGCGAAGGCAACCUCCUGGGCCGUUCCUGACGCUGAGGCGCGAAAGCUGGGGGAGCGAACCGGAUUAGAAACCCCUGUAGUCC